GGCUCAAUCGGUGGAGCAUGGGACUCUUGAUCUCAGGGUGGUGGGUUCAAGCCCCAC
rnacentral:tRNA from 1 species